rnacentral:rRNA from 1 species
CCCUUCAGAGGGGGACAACAGUUGGAAACGACUGCUAAUACCGCAUACGAUCUGACCUCGGCAUCGAGGAUGGAUGAAAGGUGGCCUCUAUUUAUAAGCUAUCACUGAAGGAGGGGAUUGCGUCUGAUUAGCUAGUUGGAGGGGUAACGGCCCACCAAGGCGAUGAUCAGUAGCCGGUCUGAGAGGAUGAACGGCCACAUUGGGACUGAGACACGGCCCAG